rnacentral:rRNA from 1 species
CGAACGGGUGAGUAACGCGUGAGGAACCUGCCUCAAAGAGGGGGACAACAGUUGGAAACGACUGCUAAUACCGCAUAAGCCCACGGGUCGGCAUCGACCUGAGGGAAAAGGAGCAAUCCGCUUUGAGAUGGCCUCGCGUCCGAUUAGCUAGUUGGUGAGGUAACGGCCCACCAAGGCGACGAUACAUAGCCGACCUGAGAGGGUGAUCGGCCACACUGGGACUGAGACACGGCCCAG